UACGGGGGGGCAAGCGUUGUUCGGAAUUACUGGGCGUAAAGGGCUCGUAGGUGGCCAACUAAGUCAGACGUGAAAUCCCUCGGCUUAACCGAGGAACUGCGUCUGAUACUGGAUGGCUUGAGUUUGGAGAGGAAUGCGGAAUUCCAGGUGUAGCGGUGAAAUGCGUAGAUAUCUGGAGGAACACCGGUGGCGAAGGCGGGUCUCUGGGCCGAUACUGACGCUGAGGAGCGAAAGCGUGGGGAGCGAACAGG
rnacentral:rRNA from 1 species